rnacentral:rRNA from 1 species
AUGGCGUUUUUGCUCGGCAACGGCGGCGUGGUCGUCUUCCGUCGGCUCCCACGACGAUGCUGUGAGCAGGGAGAGGUCUUUCCACCCGAGCUUGAGGCACCCGUCCUCCUCCACCAGCGUGUAGCCCUUCCACGGGUACAUGCCGAUCAGCAGCCUGGCCUGCGCGGCGGGGCUCCCGGCGAGGGACACGGGCCGGAACCCGGCGCGGCGCAGCUCGUCGCCCCACCGCUCCACCCGCACCUCGCCCGUCCGCUUCGGGCCCCCAACGGCCACGAUGUUCCGUAUCUCCGCGCCCAGGAGCUGCCGCUCCACCGCGUGCCGCUCCUCCUCCGCGGCGCCCGCGCCGUCGCGCAGCGCGUCGAACAGCGCCGAGUAGUAGUGCAGCGCCUCCACGAACCGGCCCAAGAAGUCGCCGCUGUGCCCCAGGUCCUGCUCCACGAUCGUGAUCAGCUUCGGCCGCAGGCUCUUGAGCAGCCGCACCGUGCCGACGUCCGAGCCCGUCACGUCGUAGAGGCAGUGGUGCAUCCAGUGCACGACGGUGGCCUCCCUGUGGCGGUGGCGCGGGCCGAGGAGCGCGGUGGUGUCUGCGACGUGCCCGAUCUUCCCAUCGAUAGGCUGGAACUCGAAGGGCAGCCCGAGCGACGCCGCGAAGUCGGCGAGGCGGCGGCCGGUGGCCUCGAGGACGUCGAGCGAGGCGCCGAGCCCGGUGACCCGGAGCGAGAGCGGCCUGCGGGGCCGGGACGCGAGCAUGUGGAACAGCCCCGGCCACUGCAGCCCCUGCAUGAUGUCGAGGUCGAUGACGUGGACGUGGUCCUCGCCGUCGAGCGCCUGCAGGAUGGCCUUGUUGGCGGUGAAGUGCGAGAACUUGACGAGCGGGGAGAGCGCGUUGUACGCCUGGAAGGCCGAGGAGAUGCGGCGGCUCUGCGCGGCCGCGAGCGGGCGGAGCGCGAGCGGCGAGUAGGCGCCCAGGUACGAGCUGAGCACGCGCGCGCACAGCGCGUCGCCGAAGUAGGCCGCGACGCGCUCCGGGGAGGACCCGAACGGGGACGCCAGCUCGGCGACCUCCUGCAGCAUGUCCUGCGCCUCCGGGAGCUGGUCCAUGGCCACCGCCUCCGCGCACCUGAGCAGCAGCCUCAGCAGCCGCAGCCCGCGCGUCUCCGGCGCCUCCGCCACCCGCUCCCCCUCCUCCCCCGCGGCGGCCACCGCCAGGCCCUGCUCGGAGGCGGAGCCAUGCAGCUGCAGCCGCUUCCCGCGCGCCUUCUCCUCGUCGUCGGGCAUCGACGCCGCCUGCUUGGCCUUCAUCGCGUCGGUGGCGGGCGCGCGCGACAGGACGCCCUGGAUCAUCACGACAGACAGAGGCCAAUAAUUUCAGGUGAGGCCGAGCGAGCUGGCGGGCGGGCGGGAAGAGUCGGUCAGUGGCAACUCACUGAUAAGCUCAGGGAUAACUCAUAA